rnacentral:rRNA from 1 species
UACGGGGGGUGCGAGCGUUGUCCGGAAUCACUGGGCGUAAAGGGCGCGUAGGUGGUCUGAUAAGGGUGUGGUGAAAGCCCGGGGCUCAACCCCGGGUCGGCCGUGCCGACUGUUAGACUAGAGUGCUGUAGGGGCAGGCGGAAUUCCGGGUGUAGCGGUGGAAUGCAUAGAUAUCGAGAGGAACACCUGCGGCGAAGGCGGGUUGCUGGGCUGACACUGACGCUGAGGCGCGAAAGCUAGGGGAGCGAUCCGG